CACGUAGGGUGCGAGCGUUGUCCGGAAUUACUGGGCGUAAAGCGCGUGUAGGCGGCUAAGUAAGUCGGGCGUGAAAUCCCACGGCUCAACCGUGGAAGUGCACUCGAAACUGCAUAGCUAGAGUCCUGGAGAGGAAGGUGGAAUGCUUGGUGUAGAGGUGAAAUUCGUAGAUAUCAAGCGGAACACCGGUGGCGAAGGCGGCCUUCUGGACAGUGACUGACGCUGAGA
rnacentral:rRNA from 1 species